rnacentral:tRNA from 1 species
GUGCCGAUGGUGCGGGUCAGAUGGGCGCGCGCGGCGUUCCAGUCGCCGGUGCGGUAGUGGCCCAGGACCGUGUCCACGUCGGCGCG